CCUACGGGUGGCAGCAGUGAGGAAUAUUGGACAAUGGGCGCAAGCCUGAUCCAGCCAUGCCGCGUGCAGGAAGACGGCCCUAUGGGUUGUAAACUGCUUUUCUACGGGAAGAAUAAGGGGCACGUGUGCCCUGAUGACGGUACCGUAGGAAUAAGCACCGGCUAACUCCGUGCCAGCAGCCGCGGUAAUACGGAGGGUGCCAGCGUUAUCCGGAAUCAUUGGGUUUAAAGGGUCCGUAGGCGGGUUGUUAAGUCAGGGGUGAAAGUUUGCCGCUCAACGGUAAAAUUGCCUUUGAUACUGACAGUCUUGAAUUGGUAGGAAGUGGCUGGAAUGAGUAGUGUAGCGGUGAAAUGCAUAGAUAUUACUCAGAACACCGAUUGCGAAGGCAGGUCACUACUACUUUAAUUGACGCUCAGGGACGAAAGCGUGGGGAGCGAACA
rnacentral:rRNA from 1 species